ACUCCUCAACUCCUCAUGGUUCGCCGUGAUGAGCUUGGACUUUUGGGGGUCUUGCUGGCCCUAUGGUUGGCUCCUCUCAAAUGGAUCAGCUUGCCAGUGUUUGGUGGCAUCACAGGUGUGAUAAAUAUCUACGCUUGUGGUUUUCCACCACGUAACCUUCAGCGAUGAAGGUUUGCUGGAGCUCACAAAUGUCCCUCCUCGGCGAGGACGGCUUUUUGAAC
rnacentral:misc_RNA from 1 species